ACACAGAGACAGAGGCUGACAAGGGAUGGGGCCGCGUUCCUAGAACACCUGAGGACAGGUCGCCCGGGUACCCGACACUUCCUCACCCAGCGUAGGACAUGGGGAGGAGAUUCAUCUCUAGAACAUUCCCAAAACGCUUAUUCAAAAUCAUUCGUAAGAUAAGCGAUUUUUUAAAGACUAAUAUAGAGUAGUUAGAGUUUACAGAAAAAUUGAGAAGUUACAGAGAUAUCCCAUAUACACUUGGCUCCUACGCAUGCAUAACCCCCCACCAUUAUCAACAUCCCCCCUCAGAGUGGUACAUGUGUUACGACUGAUGAACCUGCAUUGACACCUCAUCAUCACUCAAAGUCCAUAGUUACCUCAGGGUUCACUCAGGUUGUUGUAUACUCCUCGAGUUAGAACAAAUGUGUAAUGGCAGUGGAGCGCCCUGAAGGGAAGGAAAGGGAUCUGGAGCCCCAUUUAUUUCCUUCAUGAAUGUCCAGAGGAGAUCCUUGAAAUGAAGACUGCCACUGGGUGAGCCUAAUCAACUGGUUAAAAUAGCAAGAUAGAAUAAAAACAGAAACUCUUUGAGAGAUUGACAACUAAAAAAUGAUAAGGAAGAGACACCAUAGAUCUCUCUUUCUGCAUGCAUGCACAGAAGAAAGUCCAUAUUAGGACACAGUGAAAAGAUGGCCAUCUACAAGCCAGGAAGAGAGGCCUUAUCAGACACCAACGCUGACAGCACCUGGAUCUUGUACUUCUAGCCUCCAGAACUGAAAUUGUCCUUUUCACCUAAAUUUUUGAAUAUCUUGGCAUGAGAGCCCAAGUAGAGUGCAGAAUCACCUGGGUUCAGACGAUUCUCGUGCCUCAGCCUCCGGAGCAGCUGGGAUUACAGGUAAUUUACAUCGACUGCAUCUGUAUGGUGAAAAUAUAGUAUAAUGGGGUGCUGCUGUGAAUCUCCUUCCAAUUCUGCAUUCUGUGAUAUCAUAGUGGUAACCUGAAAUCCACCAUAGUGGGGACAUUUACACAAUAACUGGCAAAUGCUACAAGGCUGGGCUUUUUCAGUUUUGUUGAUUGUCUGGACAUAAAAAGGUAAUACAGAAAAUGUUACCAAUACAAGCAUUUGGGAAAAAUAAACUAAAACCUUUUGUGAAAAACAACAGGUUUUAUGGAAUUUACAAUAAAUAAUACUGUAUAUUUUAUUAUUUAUAAAUUCUGUGCUACACAUUCUUCAUAUCAGUAAAACUUAGAACAUAUAUAUGUAUCCAUACAUUUUGUUUUCUAGAAAGCCACUGGUUGAACAUUAACCAGCACACUACUGGAGUCUCUACCCACAAAGGUAGUAUAGGUGGGCAAGGAGUCAAUUCUCUGUGAGACUCCUGGGGGAGUCACUGACUUAGUACAUCAAGAGUAGUGCUGUGAUUUUAAAAUAUGUCCACAAAUUCUUUGAUACAUCUCCUAUCUAAAGACAGGCCCUGAUUUUCCUCCCCAUGAAUGUGAGCUGUACCUAACGACUAAUGAAUGUGGUGGAAGUAACCGUGUUAGACUUCUAAGGCUAAUUCAUAAAAGACAGUGUGGGCUCUGUCUUACCCUCUUUUGGACUGCUUACUUUGGGGAAAGCCAGUGGCCAUGCCAUGAGGACACUCGAACAUCUAUGAAGAGGUCCCACAUGGUGUGGAUAAGGACUCCUGCAACGGCCAUUUUGGACCUAGAUUCUCCUGCCCCAGACAGGGCUUCAAAUGACUGGGGUCCCAGCAGACAUCUUGACUGCAACUUCACAGGAGACUCUGGAGCCAGAACCUCUCAGCUAAGCAGCUCCUGCAAUCAUAACACACAGAAACUGUGAUGUAAUGAACGUUUGUUGCUUUAAGUAAGCCCCUAAGGUUUGGAGUAAUUCAUUAGAUGGCAACAGAUAACUAAUAUAAGCAGGGAAGACUCAUUAUCCCCAUUAAACUUCUUGGACUUUUGGGAGUCAAUGAAAUCUAAGACUCUCUCAUAUGGUGCUAUACCAACUUUGUUGAAGGGAGGGUGUCUUCCCAGAGAUCUGUGAAAACCAAACUAUUCAGGAUUAAGAAGUUCAGAAGCCACCAAUACCACUGUU
rnacentral:lncRNA from 1 species